rnacentral:rRNA from 1 species
CCUACGGGGGGCAGCAGUAGGGAAUUUUCGUCAAUGGGCGCAAGCCUGAACGAGCAAUGCCGCGUGAACGAGGAAGGUCUUCGGAUCGUAAAGUUCUGUUGAAGGGGAAAAAGAGCGGAGAGAGGAAAUGGUCUCCGAUUGAUAUUACCCUUCGAGGAAGUCACGGCUAACUACGUGCCAGCAGCCGCGGUAAUACGGAGGAUCCGAGCGUUAUCCGGAUUCAUUGGGUUUAAAGGGUGCGUAGGUUGUUUUAUACGUUAGCGGUGAAAUACCGAUGCUCAACAUCGGGGCUGCCGCUGAUACUGUAGGACUAGAGAUCGGAUGCAGCAGGCGGAAGGUGUAGUGUAGCGGUGAAAUGCAUAGAUAUUACACAGAACACCGAUUGCGAAGGCAGCUUGCUAGGCCGGAUCUGACACUGAUGCACGAAAGCGUGGGGAUCGAACAGGAUUAGAUACCCUUGUAGUC